GCGCCGGGUUGGAUUAGCGGUAAAAUAUCUCGUUGCCUACGUUAUGCCCCGGGUUCGCUUCCCGGACGGCGCA